CUGCAUGAAGAUUAUUCUGUUCACUGUUAAGUGCUUCUGUGGCCAUUGCAACAUGCUGGAGAGGAGUCCUGGGCUCUUGGGAGACGGCUGCUACUACCAGCCUGAAAGAAAGUGUCUGAUUUUCCCUUCCCUCGAGAGAAAAGGAAAUGACUGCAAUUUUGCAGCUAUAAUGAAGACAGGAAAGAAAAAACAUGUUCACUGUCUGUGUGGUUAUCGAACAAAGAAGUAUGAGGACAUAUGGUGGCAGAGUGUGAAACAGUAUAUUACAAGCCUCCAGAUAAAAGCACUUAAAGAAAGCAAUUCAAGCAUUGGCCUGGAACUCAGGAGGCUGAGGUUUUGA
rnacentral:lncRNA from 1 species